rnacentral:tRNA from 1 species
UCCCUGGUGGUUCCAAUGGUUAGGACUCUGCACUUUCGCUGUAGUGGCCUGGGUUUAGUCCCUGGUCAGGGAA